GACACUAUGGCAGGCCAACUUACUAGCUUUCAAGUAAGGUAACAUCUCAGACCAUCAUAGGUUUUGACAGGGGAAACUCUGAAGGACCACAGGAGUUGGAGGUUCCACGUAUCUCUAAGUAGUAACAUACGAUGGGUCCAAAACAGAAGAAAGAGAACUCAAGAUUCCCGAGCCACAGAGCUGUUGAUUGGAGGCUGACUCAGAGAAACCCUGGAUUCAGUGACAUACAGAGACAACAGGUACAGGAUCAGUAUGGGUUUUAAUUGAGGGGCUCGGCACCAAAUGACAGACUUGACACAUCCACCCCCACCAUGGAUGCUGUCCGUCCACUGUUGCACAAUGUCCUUCAGUGUCUAAUUUACAGAUCCAGCUGUAUUUCCCCUUCCACCUGCAUCCCUGAAGUUCCUCCCACCUGAAAACUUCACCUGACCCAAGAAAGCAAAGGAAAAAACCCGGAGAGCCAGCUCAUAGUCUGGUUCACUGUUUAACAGCCAGAAGCCAGAGCCUGCGUACUAGAAGUGGAUGCCCAGGAAGUACUUGUGAGCUGACUAAGAAUGUAAGAACGCCACCCACUUCAUUCAGGAAAGUGAGGCAGGAUUCCAUGGAGUAUGAAUGACUGCACAUGGAACAAGCAGGUUAUCAUUUAUAUUCAGCAAGGGACCUCCAUGAACAGGACAUUUGGGGAGCUGCUAUCAAACAUCAGAACUUCUGACACUGUGCACACAGUCUUAUAUUGUGCCUUGUCUGUUGUGAUGUCUCACUACAGUAAUGAUUAAGAUGAUGAGCACUUAUGCGUUGAUAUUGCAAUAUGUCUGCGUAAGAACUAUCGCUAAGGCAGGUUAUAUUAUUACCCUCAGUGUAUAGGUAAGGAGGUUAGACUGAUAACUUACCCAGUGUCACAUAGGUAGUAA
rnacentral:lncRNA from 1 species